GACGAACGCUGGCGGCGCGCCUAAUACAUGCAAGUCGAGCGGAUGACGGAGGAGCUUGCUCCUCCUGAUUCAGCGGCGGACGGGUGAGUAACACGUGGGCAACCUGCCCUGUAGAUUGGGAUAACUCCGGGAAACCGGGGCUAAUACCGAAUAGUCCUUCGGACCUCAUGGUCCGACGUUGAAAGACGGCUUCGGCUAUCACUACAGGAUGGGCCCGCGGCGCAUUAGCUAGUUGGUGAGGGAACGGCUCACCAAGGCGACGAUGCGUAGCCGACCUGAGAGGGUGAUCGGCCACACUGGGACUGAGACACGGCCCAGACUCCUACGGGAGGCAGCAGUAGGGAACCUUCCACAAUGGACGAAAGUCUGAUGGAGCAACGCCGCGUGAGUGAAGAAGGUUCUCGGAUCGUAAAACUCUGUUGUGAGGGAAGAACAAGUACCGGAGUAACUGCCGGUACCUUGACGGUACCUCAUUAGAAAGCCACGGCUAACUACGUGCCAGCAGCCGCAGUAA
rnacentral:rRNA from 1 species